UUUUAUUGUCACUUAUAAAAGGUGCGCAGAACGCUAAAGUAGUAAACCUAUUUUUAAGAAAUGAGACUCGUAGACUUAGUUGAAAAGUGAUUUUGAUUUAGAAAGUUUACCCGAGGAGUUUCCUGAUUUUAAAUCUAUCAACGCGUUCGAAAAUAGUUUCAAAAAUAGUUUUUCCUUAAAGUGAUAAAAAUUCCUAGUUACUAAGCCAGGAUGCUUUUGCACU
rnacentral:lncRNA from 1 species